UGGAAAUGGAGAAAUCUUACAG
rnacentral:miRNA from 1 species